rnacentral:rRNA from 1 species
ACGAACGCUGGCGGCGUGCUUAACACAUGCAAGUCGAACGGGAAGGCCCUGCUUUUGUGGGGUGCUCGAGUGGCGAACGGGUGAGUAACACGUGAGUAACCUGCCCUUGACUUUGGGGUAACUUCAGGAAACUGGGGCUAAUACCCGAUAAGAGCUCCUGCUGCAUGGUGGGGGUUGGAAAGUUUCGGCGGUUGGGGAUGGACUCGCGGCUUAUCAGCUUGUUGGUGGGGUAGUGGCUUACCAAGGCUUUGACGGGUAGCCGGCCUGAGAGGGUGACCGGCCACAUUGGGACUGAGAUACGGCCCAGACUCCUACGGGAGGCAGCAGUGGGGAAUAUUGCACAAUGGGCGGAAGCCUGAUGCAGCAACGCCGCGUGCGGGAUGACGGCCUUCGGGUUGUAAACCGCUUUCGCCUGUGACGAAGCGUGAGUGACGGUAAUGGGUAAAGAAGCACCGGCUAACUACGUG